rnacentral:rRNA from 1 species
GGUGCUUGCAUCAUGAUUUACAUUUGAGUGAGUGGCGAACUGGUGAGUAACACGUGGGAAACCUGCCCAGAAGCGGGGGAUAACACCUGGAAACAGAUGCUAAUACCGCAUAACAACUUGGACCGCAAGGUCCGAGCUUGAAAGAUGGCUUCGGCUAUCACUUUUGGAUGGUCCCGCGGCGUAUUAGCUAGAUGGUGAGGUAACGGCUCACCAUGGCAAUGAUACGUAGCCGACCUGAGAGGGUAAUCGGCCACAUUGGGACUGAGACACGGCCCAAACUCCUACGGGAGGCAGCAGUAGGGAAUCUUCCACAAUGGACGAAAGUCUGAUGGAGCAACGCCGCGUGAGUGAAGAAGGGUUUCGGCUCGUAAAACUCUGUUGUUAAAGAAGAACAUAUCUGAGAGUAACUGUUCAGGUAUUGACGGUAUUUAACCAGAAAGCCACGGCUAACUACGUGCCAGCAGCCGCGGUAAUACGUAGGUGGCAAGCGUUGUCCGGAUUUAUUGGGCGUAAAGCGAGCGCAGGCGGUUUUUUAAGUCUGAUGUGAAAGCCUUCGGCUCAACCGAAGAAGUGCAUCGGAAACUGGGAAACUUGAGUGCAGAAGAGGACAGUGGAACUCCAUGUGUAGCGGUGAAAUGCGUAGAUAUAUGGAAGAACACCAGUGGCGAAGGCGGCUGUCUGGUCUGUAACUGACGCUGAGGCUCGAAAGUAUGGGUAGCCAACAGGAUUAAAUACCCUGGUAGUCCAUACCGUAAACGAUGAAUGGCUAGUGUUGGAGGGUUUCCGCCCUUCAGUGCUGCUAGCUACGCAUUAAGCAUUCCGCCUGGGGAGUACGGCCGCAAGGCUGAACUCAAGGAAUUGACGGGGUCCCCACAACCGUGGACCUGUGGUUAAUUCGA